AAACUAACAAGGAUUCCCCUAGUAGCGGCGAGCGAAGCGGGAAGAGCUCAAAUUUAUAAUCUGGCACCUUCGGUGUCCGAGUUGUAAUCUCUAGAAAUGUUUUCCGCGCUGGACCGCACACAAGUCUGUUGGAAUACAGCGGCAUAGUGGUGAGACCCCCGUAUAUGGUGCGGACGCCCAGCGCUUUGUGAUACAUUUUCGAAGAGUCGAGUUGUUUGGGAAUGCAGCUCAAAUUGGGUGGUAAAUUCCAUCUAAAGCUAAAUAUUGGCGAGAGACCGAUAGCGAACAAGUACCGUGAGGGAAAGAUGAAAAGCACUUUGGAAAGAGAGUUAACAGUACGUGAAAUUGUUGGAAGGGAAACGCUUGAAGUCAGACUUGCUUGCCGAGCAAUCGGUUUGCAGGCCAGCAUCAGUUUUCCGGGAUGGAUAAUGGUAGAGAGAAGGUAGCAGUUUCGGCUGUGUUAUAGCUCUCUGCUGGAUACAUCUUGGGGGACUGAGGAACGCAGUGUGCCUUUGGCGGGGGUUUCGACCUCUUCACACUUAGGAUGCUGGUGGAAUGGCUUUAAACGAC
rnacentral:rRNA from 1 species